rnacentral:rRNA from 1 species
CGGAGGGCGUAGCGUUGUUCGGAAUUACUGGGCGUAAAGCGCACGUAGGCGGCUUUGUAAGUCAGGGUGAAAGACCUGGAGCUCAACUCCAGAACUGCCUUUGAGACUGCAUCGCUUGAAUCCGGGAGAGGUAAGUGGAAUUCCGAGUGUAGAGGUGAAAUUCGUAGAUAUUCGGAAGAACACCAGUGGCGAAGGCGGCUUACUGGACCGGGAUUGACGCUGAGGUGCGAAAGCGUGGGGAGCAAACAGGAUU